rnacentral:tRNA from 1 species
GUGUGCGUAGCUCAGUGGUCAAAGCAUCCCUCCAGAUUGAGGUGGUCAUGGGUUCAAAUUCCAUUGCACACA